UACGUAGGGACCAAGCGUUGUUCGGAUUUACUGGGCGUAAAGCGCGCGUAGGCGGGCUAUUAAGUUGGAUGUGAAAUCUCCACGGCUUAACCGGGAAACUGCAUCCAAAACUGUUAGCCUUGAGGUAUGGAGAGGGAAGUGGAAUUCCUGGUGUAGCGGUGAAAUGCGUAGAUAUCAGGAGGAACACCCGUGGCGAAGGCGGCUUCCUGGCCAUAUCCUGACGCUGAGGUGCGAAAGCUAGGGGAGCGAACGGG
rnacentral:rRNA from 1 species